rnacentral:rRNA from 1 species
GAUGAACGCUGGCGGCGUGCCUAAUACAUGCAAGUCGAGCGAACAGACGAGGAGCUUGCUCCUCUGACGUUAGCGGCGGACGGGUGAGUAACACGUGGAUAACCUACCUAUAAGACUGGGAUAACUUCGGGAAACCGGAGCUAAUACCGGAUAAUAUAUUGAACCGCAUGGAUCAAUAGUGAAAGACGGUUUUGCUGUCACUUAUAGAUGGAUCCGCGCCGCAUUAGCUAGUUGGUAAGGGAACGGCUUACCAAGGCAACGAUGCGUAGCCGACCUGAGAGGGUGAUCGGCCACACUGGAACUGAGACACGGUCCAGACUCCUACGGGAGGCAGCAGUAGGGAAUCUUCCGCAAUGGGCGAAAGCCUGACGGAGCAACGCCGCGUGAGUGAUGAAGGUCUUCGGAUCGUAAAACUCUGUUAUUAGGGAAGAACAAAUGUGUAAGUAACUAUGCACGUCUUGACGGUACCUAAUCAGAAAGCCACGGCUAACUACGUG